rnacentral:lncRNA from 1 species
AAUUUGAAAUUACAGAAAUGCUUUGUUUCUCUCAGAGGAAUCUUGCGNNNNNNNNNNNNNNNNNNNNNNNGGCGGAUGCCUCCCUGGUUGGGCUCUUUUCAACUCGUCCUGCUAUUUCUUCUCCUACAUCGAGUCCUCUACUGUCAAAAAGAACUGGCAUGAGAGCAGAGAGGACUGCAUUCGUCGUGGAUCUGACCUGGUUGUGAUCGAUAACCAGGAAGAGCAGAAAUAUGUGAGUACCACGAUCCAAAAUAUGAAAACCAGUAUUAGUAAGUGGGAGAAUGGAUUCUGGAUUGGACUCACUGACAUGGAGAACGAGGGGAACUGGACAUGGAUUAAUAAUGUCACAGAGGUGCAACAAAGGUACUGGAUGGAUGGAGAACCAAACAACGGCGGAGAUUUUGGAGAACAUUGUGGGGUUGCAGUUCACUCUGCCUUUAAUCCCUGGAAGACCCGCUAUGAUGGAAAUUGUGACUUGAAGCAGUUGCACUGGAUGUGUGAAAUGUAAUUAAGAAAAACUCUUUUCACUCCUGAUAUGAUGCUAAAAAAGCAUUUUUAACAAGAAAUAUUUAAUCAGUUUUUGGGUUAUUUUUCAUAUUCAGAGUCUACAACAGUGCAUUUAACAUUCUAAUUACUUUAGAGGUCUGUGUGAAAAUUAUUUGUUAUUAACACGUAAC